UCCCCAAUGGGAACUAAUGGGACCCCUUCUACUUUAACAUGGAGGUACUUUCUGUGUUUAAAAAGGUAAGUGCUUCCAUGUUUUGGUAGGAGUGAAUCCUGCUCUCCUUCACUGAAUUA
rnacentral:precursor_RNA from 15 species